rnacentral:lncRNA from 1 species
UCUUCACAAGUCCAUUGUCACCACAAAGGACGAAAAGCUUCAAGCAUUUGAUCUCUUUGUGAUGCUCCACUUGAACUUGCACACCGCAACCUAACCCCACAAAGAACUCUCACGAAGACCAUGGGUUAAUACACAAAGCGUAAUUGACAAUGCUUACCAUACCAUGGGAUCACUUGAUUCCUCUCAGUACAUCUUCUAGGCUUUGUGGGUUGAUCAACUUGAUUCACUCUUUGACUUAGUCUUGAUCAACCUCUCACAAGACUAAUCUUUAGGUAAUUCCUUGAAUAGCACCUUGGUCGACACAAACUCUCCUUGAAACCAACACAUGUACUCCAAGAAAACCUAUGGAAAAAACCUUCAAAUAUAACUCAAGGCAACCAUUAGUCUAUAGAGACUGUCAUCAAUUACCAAAACCAAACAUGGGGGCACCGCAUGUUCUUUCAGUAGGUAACUAAUUACCAAUAGCAGGUAACUAGACAUCAAUGGUAGGCCAGUUUCAUAGUAUUGUAGGCAACUCGACAUCAAUGAUAGACAACUAAACAUCCAGGGUAGGCAACUGAGCAGCUAUGGUAGCCAAGUUGUGAUAAUGUUAGCAAAAUUCAUUGAUACACGUAGUGCAAUGAAGUUUCUUAUAUGUAGCAUUAAAGGUGCCUAAUAUUUUGUGUGAUUUUCUCAUUUUUUACACUAACCAACCUAACAGGUAGUCCUACUAGGAAAAAAAAUGAAGUUGCCUUCCUAUAGCACUAAAGUUGCCUUCAUCGGACACAAAGUUGCCUCGAAAAAAAGUUCGACGAAACCUAUCGAUAUGAGAUCUAGUUUUGAAGAACUCAUCACAAGAAACCCGGAUGUGAAAACAAAACUGAAUUUGGACGCUUCAAUCAAAAGUUACAGGUUUUUUAAAUUUUUUGAACACCCAAACAAAUGAACGUGCGGACAAGAUUCCUUUUUUUUGUGGAUCACAUCAGGCGCGUCGGCUGCUCCUUCCAUAUUUGGAAGAGCGCUCGUUCCCACCAGCGGGCGCCCGCUAGCCAUGUCCAUAUUUAUUGAGCGUAAACGUCCGCUCAUAAGGCCAAAAAGGAUGCGACAGGUUCACGUCCGUGCGAUGUGUGUGAGUCUGUCGGUGAAAAUAUGACCCCUUUUUUUGACUCAAAUAACGAAAAAACCUAAGAUCAGAAUUCCUAAUUUUCAACUGAUUUUAAUUCACCUUCAUUUGAUUUUUUUGUGUGUGAUUCUAAUUUUUGCUAAUUACACACAAUUUCAAUUAAAUAAAAAAGGGAGAUCGAAAUCCUGGAGUACGUGCAAUAGAAAUCCACAACCGGUUAUGUACGGUUAUGUGCUCACACGGCACGGUAAUGGGCUUUUGUGUUGUGGCACGUAUUUAUUUUCUUUGUUAUCAUGGGCAAUGGACUUUGUUGGGGAUGGGUUCUAGGUCUUCUUGAAGGGCUAUGUUUGGAUUUUCAGCUCCAUGAUCUUCAUUGUAUUCCUAUGAACCAAUUAAUAAAGUGGAGUGUGUUCAACCUGAGAAAGUGUUUAUUUUGUCUAUUUUUUUGGGCAAUUGACUCAUUAAUAAGUUACAAUGGGUUCACAUGUUUCUACACAUUUUGAAACAUGUAAAUAAGGGUAAACACAACUAUAAUUUAUGUUCUGACAUGUUUGAAAUGUGUAAAUAAGGGUAACAACACUCUCUCAAAACUGUGUUUCGCCCCGCUUUAUAAAUAAAGCAACAUCCAAAGAUGUACAUGGCCGAAUGAUAGAACACAGUGAGGUAGCCCUCUGACAAAGAUGAUCCCGAGAUAUCCAACACACGUAAAAUGCACGCGACUACGCUACCAGCAACGAGCAUUGAGAGAACUAAACACCCCUAUGCUACGAGAAUGGCGCAGAGCAUCGCCAUUGCCGAGUCCACACCGAACAAAGGUCUUCACCCGGUGCCCUGAGAAAUCAGGUAAACAACACUAAUUUGAACUAAAACCAUUUUGGAAUGGAGGGAGUAUAGUGUAAGUUAAAUCAUGUAGAACUAUGUGUCGUCCUAAAAAUCUUGGAGGGUUAGGUGUGUUGGAUCUCAAGAUUUGGAUGUGUCCUACGGCUCUGUCGGAAGUGACUUGACCAUAUUGAUAAUGACAAACCUUGGGUUGGUUCUCCCAUCCUCUGUACAAACAUAGGAUCAACCCUCGCGUCGUCCUCCUCCAGGGGGACUCGGGCGGGGCGUAUCACCCCCGGCGCAAGGCCUCCCAGUGUUCACCCAUCCACCGCUGCCUAACGCAUCCCCGGCCAAAGCCUACUUGGAUCUGGCGGUGGCGGGCCAUGGCUUUUAGGGCAUCGUCACCCCUCGAACUAGGGGAUCGGGUGGUGGCCGACAGCGCGGCGCUGCCCCGGCACGCGUCGCCGAGCUCUGAGGUGGAGGGGACGGCGGUGGUUGCGGGCGAAUGCCGUCGGCAUGGUGCUCCUGGUACGUGCGUGCAGCGGCGGAACAAGGUGCGGCGGCGCGGCUCUGUCGGUGACUCGAUGGUUGGAUGUGUUCGUGAGGCCCGGUGGCUGGCUACCGGCCAUGGUCGCUGGGUUGCGGACGACGCGACGGCGGGUGAGGCACGCCGACAACUUGGCAGAUACGCCCUUGUCUGGGUCCUUGACACCGCGGGCAACUCUCGGGAAAACCCUAGAUCUCAUUGCAAUCGAGUGAUGGCGGUGCUUUAGCGUCGUAGUCCCUCUUGAGGGCAUCGUUUUUUGAGUUUGCUUAGGUUCAAGGGACCAACGACGCCGACCCGGUGGCGUGACUGCCGAUGAAAAUCACGCCGACUUGGUCAUGGCGGACGAUGGUGGCGUCUCCGAUGUCGUUUCCUUGUUGAGGCAUCAUCGUUGCAGUUUGCGUUAUCAUGCUCGGGAUGCUCCGGGGAAAACCCUAGAUCUGGGCCUCCCGGAUUGGACGAUGACGGCGCCUUUGGUGUCGUUCUCCUUCCUGGGGGCAUCGUUUUGGAGCUAGUGCAGGUUCGAGGGGACUAUUGGAGGAGCCGUGUUAGAUCUACCGCAAGGCCAACGGCGGAUCCUGGCGGCAUGGCGCCGCGGAGGUUCGGCGACGGGCGCGUGUGGACGGACACGUGCAGGAUUGUGGUGUUGUUUGGCGCCAUGGUGGCGUCAACGGCAGGCCAAGCAAGGUUGAUGCGUCAGUUCCUGCUCUGGAGAUGGACUGAUGGAUGAUGGCGGUGGCAGCCUGUGAGAGUGUGCCGGUCCAGUGUGUGACCCAGUCCUGGUAUGUGGCUGGGCUGGGGCAUCCGACUUUAGAUGCUAGGCUUUGGUGCGAUGUCUGUUUGGUAUUUGGCUCGAAUAUUCGGCACGCCUUCAUCAAAGGGAUAGGAGUAGCAAUAGAUAUUGCCUAGAUGGUGGUGUUAUGGCUGCUAGAAGGAGGGCGUGAGAGGGUCGGCCGAGGGCCUUUUUUUGCCCACGGCCAGGCAAGAGGAAAGGGAUUUCCUUCUUAAUUCUUGCUUGAUUAGAUUGAUACAUUUCCUCUCUUUAUAUAGAGAGGUUUACUUGACUCCCAAGCAAGGCUUACUUGACCCCUAAGCAAGCGACCCUUAUCUCUAAUUAACCCUAAGACUAACGGACUAUACCGCGAGCCCAGGCUAUUAGAUCCAUUACGUACUCUAACACUACACCCCACCCGAACAUGCAGCUUGUCCUCGAGCUGCAGCCUAACCAACUUAUAACCAUGACUCGACGCAACACAAAACUAACACCCAAAAACAAGCCUUUUACAUCUCGGCUUGUUUUAUUACUCUCAACUCGAAAUGGACUGGGACGAUUUAUUUUGGACCCCUUAACAAAAAGUGGACACCAUCCGCAUGUCAGACGUGCACGUGUACAACCACCUGGAUCUCAUGAACACCAUCUAAACAAAAGUAGUGCAUGUGUAUGACCACCUGGAAGUGGUCGCAAGAGCGACCAGCAGAGGCGCCCUCGCGGCGCCCGGUGGAAUGCAGUGGUGCUACGCGGUGCGCUUCUGUCGGUGACACGCUGCCUUUUUCCUGCCGGACGACUGUUGGUCUGCACCGCACAGAGAAGAGUGGAGGGCUUGCGAUGGAGAAUGACGAGGAGGGGUGCACCCCCCAACCGCCGAUGUCGCAGACUUUGAGGCCGCUGCCCGCAGGAAAACAACAUGUCCGCAGCCCAUGGGGAAACCGUAUGCCCAAGAUCCCCGACACAGCGGACGAGAUCGAGGUCGUUUGUGCAGCGAAGGGCAAUUUGGAGGAGCGGCAGCUGCAGACCACACAUCUCCUGCACACGCCGACACGCUAGGAGGCCGCGUGCAGCAGCCUGCAGCCUCACUGCCGCCGACAUGUGGCGGGUUAGUGAUCCAAACCGGAAGCGGUGAUGGCGACGGCGGGAACUUGAUCUACUGGAUGGGGACACCCUGGGGAAGCGGUGAUGGCGACGGCGGGAACAUGAUCUGGUGGAUCGGGACUCCCGCCGGCGUGAUCGAUGCGGGGCCGGAGCUGACCGUCGAUGGCUGUUGCAGCGGAGCGCUGGGAGCGGCGGAGGCCGCCAGGAGCGGCGGCUGACACUGCAACCAGGGCGGGGCGGUGGAUGGCAGCUGGAGCGGCUGUGCAGUGGCCCGGCAAGCGCGGCGGAGGCCGCCUGGUGCGGCGGCUGCCACGGCGGUACAGCCGGGUGCGGCCCGUAGGACCCGGCCAAGAACAGGCGGAUCUCCCGGACCGCCUGAGUUAGGUCCCACAGCGUCCUGGACACCUUCCCCAGGGUGAGAAUGGCGGGGGCGGGCACGACGGAGAAUCCCGACAGCAGAAGAGACGGGUUGGGCAGCGAUGAAGACAUGAUCAAACUGAAGCUAGCCCGUUAGUCUAGGCUAUUAGGCCCAUUAUGUACUCUAACAGGUGGCUUGAGACUUACUAAUGUAUUAUUUUGUAUGAUCUUUGUGGAUUAUAAUUAAUAAAAUGGUCGUAUGCAUCAUCCAGAUGCAAAGGCCAGGGGUAUAUCCUCUUUUUCUAAAAAAAAUCCUCUGUACAAAGAUGAUUUGGCACUCUUUUCAACCUCCACUUAUGUCAUGGUUGGCAAUGGCAUGUGUAUGAGCUUCUCGAUGACCGCGGGCUCGAUGAGGAGGCUCUAUGAUUCUCUACCCCCAGCAUUUUCAAGCUUUCUCAGUGCAAGAAUAUCUCAGUUGCAUACGCAGUUACGAUCAAAGAUGGAUGAUCGGACUGCACAUGGUAUAUGUGAUUACGGAGUUCUGGCAACUCACAUAGUGUUGGCUGCAUCUGAACAAGUCUCCCUGCAACCUUGCAAUCCGACACUGAUGACACAAUAAGUUGGGCCUGAAACUCCUCCCAGGUGUACACCGCUGCAUCCUCGUACCACUGUCAAUUCAUUGGUUCAGUUCCCCCCUUAAGAUUUAACAAGCUUUUUUUUGAAGGGAACAAAUGGUAUUUCAUUACAUUAGACCGCUGGUUAAAUCAACAGCUACAGAGUUCAUUACAACAUUAGGGAAUUGGCCUAACCAGAUUUCAUAACUGUCAUUCCCUAAACUAGUUCCAUGUGCAGCUAAGGCAUGCGCUGCAUUAUUACAAGACCUUGGACACAUAUAAAGAUUUACAUUAUCAAAACCGACUCUCAUUUGAAAUUUUAUCUUCUGGAACAGAGCUCCAAGUGGCGCUAGGUCGUAGUCCCGACUUGAGAUUGCUUGUUUCAGUACCCUGGAGUCCGUCUCAAAGAUGGCUUGGUGACACCCCAAGUUGAUUGUUGCAUUAAUCGCCAAAGUGCCAUUUCUUCAUGUGGCCAUGGCUUCAGGGUAGAAUCCUCACAAACGACAAUUUGGUGAUUCGUGGUAUUCCUCACAACGAUGCAUGCAAACCUCUGUGAUCAAGUUGAUGAAUCCCCUUCGCACCUUAUUCUGAAAUGCCCUACGUAGAUAUGUUUGGGAGCUGCUUGCGGAAUGCGGAAUGGUCUGAUAACACUGGAUUGGCCGCAAAUACCCAAGACAUUGUGUCCAGGAGUGGUGGAAUGAUCGAACCAAAGUUGUCCCGUCAGCAAUUUACACGGCGUGGAUCCUUUGGAAAGAAGCAACAUGCAAGUUUUUUUAGCACAAGUCCUUGCAUGAAGCUGGCUCCCUCCAACUUUUAUGUAAGAAGCAAAAUAUAUCCGUCUGCUAUAUCUUCAAUGUUGAAAACGAACAAGAACCUUAACCCCAACUUUUUGUAAAAUAAGAAUGACUUUAUAUUUGUUUUCUCCUGCUUAAUAUAUCGGCAACUAUACUGCCAGUUCCUCAAAAAGAAAAUUGUUUAAAUUGUGAACUCUAAAAUGAACAACGAAAAUAAAAGAGGUCCCGAUAAGCAAUGACUUUUUCAUGUAUAAUCCAAACUUGUUCGGAACAGGCUCGAACUGCCUGCAUAUUCAGCAUAGAGGUACACUCAAACCGCCUGCGUAUUGAGCAUAGAGGUACACAAGAAUGGUGACGAACUGCACGGGCUGGGACCAAUACGAUAUUGUUUAACCUACAAAAAGUUCCCCACGGAUGUGAUCUACAGACUAAUCCCCUCUUAAUAUACCUGGCCAUCUGUCGGGCCGGGCCUAACAAAGCCCAAGGCAGAAAACUGAGGCCCGAGCCCAGCCUGACCUGACCUGACCGUCAAGCCUGUUUUUAGGCCCAAGCCUGACCCGACAAUGCAUGAUAAAGCCCGCUGGGCCUUGGACCUCGGGCUGGGCCCUUCCCUAAAACGCGAAAAUGCCAAGCCCAGGCCGGCCAGACGUGUGCUUCGGGCUCAAAACUCAGGCCCAGGCCCGAUCCACGGGCAAGACCAGGCCGGGUCUAGUCGGGCCAGUCGGGCCGGGUAUCCCAUGGCCAGGUAUACCUCCGACCUCCGUGAACUUCAACUAACCUUCCCCUGAAUCCUAACAAGCCUAUCUGUUGGCCUCCAUGUCACCACGUAAACUCAUCCUGUAGGAAAUCUUCGGUAAUGCCAUCUCCAACGCUUACUCUAACCGGACACUGCAUCCGUCCACGGACACGGAUGCGAGAGCCAGUCAUCCAAAGCUAGCCUCAAACAAUUCAAACCGAAUUUCAACUAACCGAACAAAUUUCAUCAAAUAAGACACAUCUCAUUCAUGUUCGGAGAUAAUUUAUAUAGAUCAACUGAUAUUUCGUCCGUUUAACUUAAAAAAAACUAGAAAAAACCUAAAGCUUGUAGUGGAUGAUGACAUCGUACACGUGGCCGUCUUGCCCGACUGCACCGCCAUUGCCGUCUGUACCGUCCUCGUCGUCCCUACUGUGGCGGAAGGGUGCAGGUCCGCUGCUGCAGCCUUGUCCGGUAGCUGCCUCGCGCCUGCGGAGGAGCCGCUCCGCUCCGCUUCCUCCUGCUUGGUGCAGAGGGCCGCCGGGGCCAAUUCCAACAACGUUCGUAGAGCCUUGCCCCUGCCGGCAUUGGCGGCACUCCUUGUUGAUCUUGGCGAGCUCGCCGUCAAGGCAGUGGCGACGCCUCAUGGUCGUCUCUACGGUGGUGAUAGAGCGGUCAAGGGCCCAGGUGGCGGCGAGGUCGGGGUCGUUGACAACCUAGUCUGACACCGCGCCCGACUUGGCGGACGCAAAGCGACGGGCAGCAUUGCGCCGCUUAUACCGCGCCGCCUGCCUUGCCGCCCUUUCCUCGACGGGAAUGACAACCCAUGAUCUCUAGGGACCGCCGCCAGCGAGGUAGUGGAGGAUGCGGCCGCGCGCCUUGGCAAUCACGGGUGGCAGUUGUUCCUUGAUGAACUGCCUGAGCCGGUUGCGGCGAGGCUGGCCCGUCGAUCCGGGUGUACCGGCUAUAUAGCAGUGGUGACGCCGACUCUUCCUUCACGCGGCGCCCAAUUUGGACGCCAGCUCCUCCUUGAAGUUUGAUGCUUGGUCUGAUGUGGACGCUGCCAUGGUUAUGCGCGCGCGCACGUGUGUGUGUAUGUGUGUGUGAGGGGGAUGCGAGCUCCUCCUUCACGCGCCAAAGAGGAGAUGCGGGCUCCUCCUUGAAGCGCUAGCGCGGCGGGGAUGGCGGCUCAUCCUUAAUGGGAUGUGGUGGUAAGGACGGCGCCGGGCCACACUCUUGGAGCGAUCGCUUCGUCAUCAGCUCCAUCUCAUGGAUGAAUUCCUCGUCUGUCAGAGCGGCCUCAAGAGGAGGCGCGGCUGCUGCUUCAGCAGCGUCCGGUCCUCCUUGUCGCCGGAGGAGUUGGCCGCCAUGGAGGCCGAGUGCCCCGAAGAGCGAUGGCGGUGGCGCCAUGAGCCUGACGAAGAUCCAGGCCGCCGCCGCCUACCGGCACGGAGAACCAAGAUUUCAGCAUCGCUGGAGGAGGAGAGGCUCGGGAAGGAGGAGGGGCUCAGAGAGGAGGAAGUGUGGAUGUGCAUCGUCGGAGCACGGCUUAUAUAGUCGUGGCCAGGCCAUGCGAACGGAUGGCCAGCCCGCUGCAAUGCGGCGCAUCGGCCGAAAUUGGUUUCUCGUGACGCGACGUCUGCAUUGAAGCAGCUACGCUCGAGAGGCCGUGUCGGUUAGCGCUGCUCUCCCGCCCGGCCACGUCACGUGGCUUCAAAGUCGGCCGCUACAUGCUCUGGCCGGCAUGGAUGCGGUGCAGGAAGCGACAUGUGUUGGAUGGAAUGCGCAUGAGAGGCGGGAUGGUUUUUUUGGAUGGACCAGUGUCGGGUGGUAGGUGCGACAUAUGCCAACGGGUGGCUUAUGAUUGUGGGAGCCAGUAAGACGUCGCCGGUGCCUGUAAGCGGGAUGAGGCGAAGACAUGCACACGGGCGAAUCUUACCCAGCUUCGGGGCUCUCCGUGGAGAUAACACCCCUACCGCUGCUCUGCGUGGUCUCCGCAUGAUCACUAGAUGAACAAGUAGCCACACGAUGCUCCUUGAGCUAUUUGGCGAGAGGAGGAAGAAGGGCUCUGCCCGCUCUCUUCUCCUCCCUAUGUGGUGUUUAAAACUAGCAGGGAUCAACCCUUUGCAUGGGUGUCCCGGGGGGUUUAUAUAGGCCCACCACCAGGGAUACAAUGGUAAUCCGGCUGGAUGCGGGGCCCAGCCGUCUGUGUCUACACUCGCCGGCUUCUGUGCCGGCUGCUGGGGCCCGCCGGCUGGUGGGUCCCGCCGGCUGCCGGCUCCUUGGUCGACAGGCAGGCCCCACUGUCCAGGGCCUUAUCGGCGACUGGUUACUGUUGCUCAAUCCUGGUGACAAAGGCUUCGCCGAGGUGGCCGUGGCUACAGUGCCGCCGUCCGGCGGGUGAUCGCUGUAGCCUCACCGCGUCUUGUAUCCUUAAUGGGGCGUCCCCUUCAAGGGGGUGGCAAACCGGCUGUGGAGAGCCGGCUCUGUCUUGGGCCAACUGGGGGAGGCCGGGCCGCCUUCGGGUGUCUCUCUGCCUGAAGGGGCCCACCACCCGUGGGCCACUCUGGCGGCCCGUCGUGGAUGACAUCAGGGUCAUCAUGACAACAGUGCCGCGCCGGACGGGUCAUGGCCACCCGUACGGCGCACUGUGCCAGGCGUGCUCCGGGAUUCGGGGGUGGCAAGCUUUACUGUAGCCACGCCCCGUCACAUCGCCGUUAUGUGGGUGCAGACUUCGUGGGAACGAUCUUGACCGCUUUAUGGGAGUCGGGUUCUUGGAGUCGGCCCUCUCGGAGCCGUCCCUCCCGCGACUUUUUUCAUGAAGGCUGAAGUCGGGCCGCCUUCCGAUAGUCGGCCUGGGAAACAGCCGGCGAGGGGAAGGCGGCCCCAUUUCUUGGAUUCUUGAGGGCCGGAUGGGCUCGUUAUAAUUUUUUCAGAAGGCCCAGGGGGAGCCGGCUUGGCUACCCAUGGUUAUUUCCUCCGACAGUAGUCCCCGAAGCUGGCGAGCUUCGAAACUGACAAAGGGACGAGAAGCUCGAUCAGCUUCCUACCCUAAGGGGUCGGUUGUGCCUGUGCACACUGUCUUCAGAAAGCCCCGUUUCUCGUAGGCUGGAGCGCGGUCGACCUGCGAGCUGAUCGCAGGCUAUCCCACGGGCCACAUGGCAAGGAAAUCCUGCCGGUGCACGCGCGCGACGGGACGCUGCCGCAGGCCCAGGCCCGCCACUCCUAGGCCUCUGCCCGAGCACGGAUCUUCUGCGGCCCACGCGGACCGCUCACCUUCCCGUGGCGAUUUUAUUACGUCUUCAGGGCGCAAUAAUCGCGGGACGUGGGGGAGUGGGCGCAGUUGAUCCCCAUGUUCCCCCACGCCGCGCCUCCUCGGCUCCGCCGCGCCGGUCUAUAAGUAGGGGGAGGAGAGGGAGCGGCAGAGGCUUGCACGCUCUCCCUCGCUCCGCCCCUCCUCGCCUUCCUUCUUCUUUCCGCCGCCACUGCCACCCAUUGCUGCGCCGUUCCGCCGUCGCAUCGUCUUGCUCCUCGCCGCGUUGCUCCCAUGGCGCUCUCAAGCUCGUGGGAUGGCUCUAACGUCCAUGAAGACCAUGUCGAGUUCCUCCGCCGGACACGGCGCCUGCCGGGCGAGAACUUCGUGCGGGUUCGUCAAGCGCCGGCGAGGGAGAUUUCACCGACACCGGAGGAGGGCGAGCGGGUGAUCUUCAGCUCGCACUGCCUGCGCGGCUUCGGCCUCCCGGCGAGCGGAUUCCUUUGAGCCUUCCUCGAAUUCUACCACCUACAGCCGCAUCACCUCACGCCCAACACGGUGAUGCUGCUGUCGGCCUUCGUCACCCUGUGCGAGGGCUUCCUCGGGGUCCUCCCCACGCUCGAGCUCUGGGGGGAAUUCUUCCAGAGCAAGCUCGGCACCGUUGUCGCGGGCGUGCCCGCCCCCUGCGGAGCCUAUAUUGCCAUGAGGCGGACGGGCGAGAACAACCCAUUCCCGCCCAUCCCGCUGAUCCAGUCGGUGAAACUCUGGCAGAAGUCUUACUUUUACAUGAAGAACGUCGCCUAGCAAGGCGACUACGUCAACCUGCCGGCUUAUGUAGCCGGCCCGCCGGCUGGGAGGCGACCUUCGUGGAGCUAUCGGGCCAGGUUGUUGUCUCAGGCCGGGAACGCAGCCGUCUCCCGACUUUGGGUGAUGAUCCAGUCGGAGGGCCUGACCGGAGCCGACUUGGUGGCCGCCUUCGUGGAGCGCCGGGUACUUCCCCUCCAAGGCCGGCCUCACAUGAUUUGUCAGAUGAGCGGCCGCUUCGACCCGUGCCGGCUGAGCACCAGGGAGAUGCCUCAUGCAGAGGUGUCUUACAUGGUGAACUACAUCUCCAACUGCAAGCUCGCCGAGGAUUGGCGAUAUGGCAAGGAGCCGUAUUCCCGCGCCAACCCUUCGCCUGCCGUAAGGUUUUCCUUCCUUUCUUCCUUUGGUAGUCGGCCUCAUGAUAGCCGGCCUCUGAUUAGUCGGUUUGCCCUUAGCAGAACCCUCUUCUUCCGCCGACGACCGGGGCCGCAGGGGUAGAGCGCCAGCUCCUCCCCGACCGCACGGUGGAUGACGCCGACAAUCCGGACUUGGGAGCGGCCGCCAUGGAAGACGCCAUCGUGGGGGAAAGCGACGAGGCCGGAGGCGCGGGGCUCGGGGCCGGCUUCGAGGACUGGCCGGACGAUGUCGAGGUCGAAGUCGCCCCGCGCCGCCAGCCGGCGCUUGAUCAUCAAGGUGCGGACUCGUCCGACGCGCUGGUUGCCUGCGGCGGCGCGCAGAAGCGCCGGGCCGCGUCGAUCCUCUUCGGCAGCCGGCCGAAGAAAUCCAAGGCUCCCACGGCGGCGACCAAGCGGGAUGAGGCGGCCGCGAAGGCGGCCCGCUUCCGCAAGGCGGUAAAACAGCCGCAGGCGAUCUCGGCGUAAGUCGUCGAAUGCCUCGUAUAUAUACUUUUUGUUAUCCCUUUCGACCAAAACUCUUCUAAACCUUUCUUGGCUUGCCGGACAGGGCACCGCUUUCCCUUGAGCGGGGUCCCGACGGCUCCGUAGUCGGGACGACUGGAGGGUCUUCAGGCUCCCGCCGCGUGGAUCCCCGCGCCGACCUUAGGGAGGCCACGGAGCGGAACGCACGGGAGGCACGGGAGGAGCGGGAGGCGGCGGAGCGAAGGACCGCCCAGGCGGUGAAGGAGCAGGCCGAGGCGACAGCCAAGGCCUGGGCGGAGGCGGCAACCAAGGCCCGGGCGGAGGCGACAGCCGCGGAGACGGAGGCGGAGGCCUCGCACAACCGGCCUCCGCUGCUCGUCGUUCCCCUUCGCGCCGUGGCCCUCGGCAUCCCAGUGCCCCCGUCGGAGGAGGUCGACCAAGACCCGCCGGUGAUGGAGAGGAGGGAGGGCUCCAUGAUCUUCGUGGAGGGGGCGCCGCAGGCAGCACCGACCGGAGCGGGCCAAGGCGGCCAAUCGGCUGCGGUGCCAGAGCAGCCGGCCAGGGGCGAGUCGGAGGCAGGGGCCGGACUCGAGGUGCAGCCAGCAUAGCGCCGACGCGCAGGGGGUGGCGCCUCCGCGCCGGAACCGCACCAAGCUGCGAGCGCCGGCCAGACGGCGGAGGCCCUGGAGGCGGCCAGCACCAGCGCGUCCGAGUGGACCCCCAGCGGGGGGACGGGCGAGGUGAACGCGGCGGCCCAGGAGGUCCGGAGCCGGCUUCAAGCUCAGGCCGCCUCGCUGCAGCGAUACACCCAAGAGUUCCUUGCGACGCGGGCCGUCAUCUGGGUGAGUCUUCUGUCCUGGGUUGUUUUGUUCUUUGAUUUCUUCUGUGGGGGCGCGUCAGCGCACCCACUGCAUGUAGUCCCCGAGAUUCGGGCCGACUGCUGAGCAGUCGGGUCGGAUCUUCCUUGACGACUAUCUUAUUCUCGCCUUCUGUCUGAUUUUCCAGGAGUAUCAUAACCUCCGCGCUGCUGCCUUCAACUCCCAGGCGCAGGACCUGGUCGGAGAACCGAGGAUCUGACCAGCAACCUGAGUGCGUGCUUUCUUUCGUUCAUCUCCUGUGGGGGCGCUUCAGCGCACCCACUGGGUGUAGUCCCCGAGAUUCGGGCCGACUGCUGAGCAGCCGGGUCGGAUCUUCCUUGACGACUUCUUCCUUAUUAAUUUUUUCCUGUCUUCAUGCUUGCAGGAGCCAAUGCCGACUUGAGGGAGCAGCUCAGCAGGGCCCAGGCCACCCUUCGCGCUAAGGAAGCCGAGUACAGCGCCUUGGUCCUGGAGCAUGACCGCCUGGCCAAGAAGUUGGCCGACCAGGAGGAGAGCCACAAGGCGGCUCUGAAGGAAGCUCAGGACAGCGAGAAUGCCCUGAGGGCCGAGUUCGAGACCGAAGCGGCGGGCUGGGCUGAGGCGAAGCAGGCAUUGAGCUAGGGCUUCGGUCGUAUCGAGGAUCUGAUCGAUGGUAAGCCACCUUCUUCACUCCUUGCUUGCCCCUUGAUCCCUGAUUUGUAUUCCAACUUGUGCUGCUUUUUGUUCUCCGUGCAGACUACUUUCCCGGUUACUCCGUCUUUGCCGCCCAAACCAUCGAGGCCCACCGCGAGGCACGUCGGCAGGCGGGGGUUGAAAUCGCGCCGGGCGCGGGCCGGACGCUCGAGGAGCAACUCUUGGUAGUCCAAGCCCGGCUGCAGCCGGCUCACCGUAUGCUCCACCGCCUCCAGCGCGCCGGGGCGCAGGUGUUGGCCGCCCUUUGGCCAAGCGAGAUGAUUCCCCGCACCCCAAGUCGGACUGCCGACUGGCUGGAGGUUGCGGUUGGCCGCUUCGAGGCCUGGAAGGCAUCGGCAACCCGGCUUGGAGCUGGGCGGGCGCUGGAGUUCGUCCGAGCCUGGUAUCCGGGGCUGAACCUGGACCAACUGCGCACCUGGAGGCUGGAGGCCGACGAAGAGCUGGAGGAGGUGCGGCCGGCUAUCGCUCAGCACGCCUCGACGAUCGCCGAGUGCACUGAUAUCAGCAUCUUCGCUCCUGAAAUUAAUGACGACGACGUUGCCCAGCCGGAGGAGUGGUUCGGGCUAAACCCGGCAGCGGGUGAGGACUCGGCAGAGGAGAUCGCCUCCAGCGAUGAAGGCGAAGACGACGAAGGAGAGGAGGGCGAAGACGUUGAGCCGGCCGGUGAAGCGGCCAGCCAGCCUCAGCCCGAUCGUGCCUCCAGCAACAAGGCGCGUGCUAGCGCGCCCUCUGCGGGAGGCGGUGAUCAUGCCGAGGUUCUCCAGCCGGCCACUCCUCCAGCUGGCACUGCCGUCUCCACCGACCUGCCCGACUCGCCAGUCGCUCCCUUGGCUUAAUCUGCCGUCCUUGUUUUUUCCUGCUUGUUGCCUUUUGAACAAUUUUAUUAAACUUGCGCAGUUCCACCCACUGGGGGUGUAUUCAAACUAUGUUGAAUGCUGGCCUUUUGAAGGUCUUUUAUGUAAAUAUUAUUGUGUGCGUGUUUGGCUUCCAUUUACGUAUGCUUUUUGUCCUUAGGCUGUUUCCUUUGCCGCCUUCCCCUUUGGGGAGGUAAGUACUCGAGGUUUUUUAGACUGAAGUGAGGUGAAUGGAAGCCGGCUGGCCGGCUACUCUGGUAGUCGAUCGGUGGUGGGAGAAAAAACGGCUUUUGUUAUAUUAGUCGGUUAGUCCCUAGCCGUUUUUCAUGUGGGCGUCCUUUCCUGCCUUUAACUGUUGCCAGCCGGACAGCCGGUUCUUCGAACUGCGACUUUUGGCAAGAGAAGGCUUGGGUGCCGGCACACUACUUGUCUGACCGCGGGUAGGACUUCUAAUAUAACGCAAGGCGGCCAGUCCCCGGGCCGACUAGUCGAACCCGGUGCCGGAUGAAAAAAGUAAAUGAAAUGACAAGGUCAUAAGCAUGAUACUCUUCAUUCAUAGAUAAAAGAUGGCAGUCCCCGAGCUCUCCUCGGGGGGCCUAUUGUCUCGUACUUAAUACAAAAGAUAGCGUGAUACAUACUGUAUUUCAACUGUAAAAUCUUCGGAGGAGGUUGGCGUUCCAUGGUCGUUCCGACUCCUUGCCGAAGUCGUCUCUCUUUCGUGCCUUCGGCUUCUGCGCGUCGAUUAGGUAGUAAGAGUCAUUGCCUAAAGCUCUACUGAUGACGAAGGGGCCCUCCCAAGGGGCCGAGAGCUUGUGCUGGCCGGUUGUUCGCUGGAUCAGCCGGAGCACAAGAUCGCCCUCUUGGAAUGAUCUUGGCUUGACCUUCCGGCUGUGGUAGCGGCGCAGGCCCUGCUGAUAGAUGGCGGACCGGCUGAGGGCUAACAGCCAGCCCUCUUCCAGCAGGUCGACACCGUCUUCUCGUGCUUCCCUAGCUUCCGCCUCCGUGUACAUGGUUACCCGAGGUGAAUCGAACUCGAUGUCAGUUGGGAUGACCGCCUCGGCACCAUACACGAGGAAGAAAGGAGUGAAGCUGGUUGACUUGUUUGGGGUAGUGCACAGACUCCAGAGGACGGCCGGCAGCUCAUUGAGCCAACAGCCGGCUAAACACUCCAGUGGUACGACCAGUCGGGGCUUGAUGCCGGAAAGGAUGAGGCCGUUGGCUCGCUCGACCUGGCCGUUUGACUGCGGGUGGGCAACGGAAGCUAAGUCUAGCCGGAUGCCUUGCGUCGCGCAGAAACGUGCCAAGGCUCCCUUGGCGAAAUUCGUGCCAUUGUCGGUGAUGAUGCUGUGUGGCACGCCGUACCGAGUUGUUAUGUCUGCGAUGAAUGUCACGGCAGUCGGCCCAUUCAACUUCUUGAUCGGCUUUGCCUCAAUCCAUUUGGUGAAUUUGUCCACAGCGACAAGCAGAUGUGUCAUGCCGUCGCGCGCCGUCUUGAAUGGGCCCACCAUGUCCAGUCCCCAAACGGCGAAGGGCCAAGUGAGGGGAAUGGUCUUGAGUGCUGAAGACGGCAUGUGUUGCUUGGAGCUGAAAAGUUGGCACCCUUUGCAAUGUUUAACUAACUCCUUGGUGUCAUCCAAAGCAGUCGGCCAAAAGAAACCAUGGCGGAAGGCUUUGGCGACGAGUGAUCUUGAGGCCGCAUGGUGGCCGCAUUCUCCUUGGUGGAUAUCUCUGAGGAUUGCGAUGCCCUUCUCUUGCUCGACGCAUCGCUGGAGGACUCCAGUGACACUGCGCUUGACGAGCUCUUUGUUGACGAUUGUGUAUGCUCCAGCUCGGCGUUGGACUUGUCUUGCCUCUGUUUCGUCAGCCGGCAGAUCUUGGUUUAUUAGGAAGUUGAGGAUGGACUGAGCCCAUAAUGGAGCUGCGACUUCUUCUAUUGCCAACACGGCUACUACGACCAGGGCGGGCGGGCUGGGUGGUGAAACGCUGGAGUCGGCCGCCGCCUGUUGUGUUGGAGCAGUCCCCGGGCCGACUACCGCAGUCCCUGAGCCGGCUGUGGCAGUCCCCGGGUCGGGCGUAACUAUGGAAGUCCCCGAGGCGCCUCUGACGUCCCCGGGCCGACUAUCGAAGUCCCCGGGUCGCCUGCUUGGUUCUUCGAGCCGGACCCGGCCGCGUCGGGGUCAGGCGGCACGAAGAUGGAAUCGGACUCUGGAGACAGCUUGAUACACGGCUUGAGGAGGCGUUGCAAAGAGACACCGGUUGGUAUUGCCUGCCGAGUGGAGCCUAUUCGAGCCAGGGUAUCAGCUGGCUCGUUGUCGGCUCUUGGUACGUGGAGGAACUCGCAUCCUUCAAAGUACCCACUGAUCUGCUGAACGAGGAAGCGGUAGCUUGCCAUAUUUGCGUCCUUGGCGUCCCAGUCGCCGGAUGAUUGCUGGACCACCAAGUCUGAGUCGCCAUAACAUAGGAUCCGGCGAAUGCCGAGCUCUUUGGCAAGCCGGAGCCCGUGUAUGAGUGCCUCGUACUCGGCCACAUUGUUGGAGGCGGCAAAGUGAAUUUGCGGCGUGUAUCUGAGCUUGUCGCCUUUGGGAGAGGUGAGGACGAUGCCGGCUCCCAAGCCGGUGCGCGUCUUGGACCCAUCGAAGUGCAUGCGCCAAUGAGUGGAGUCGGGAGCCGGCGGUAGGUACUGGGUCUCGACCCAGUCGACGAGGAAGUCGGCCAAUGCUUGGGACUUGAUGGCGGUGCGAGGCUGGUAGAAGAUCGUGUAAGGGGCCAGCUCGAUGGCCCAUUUCGCCACCCGGCCGGAUGCAUCCCGGCUGCCUAUGAUCUCGGCAAGCGGGGCGGUGCAUACGACCGUGAUGGGAUGCUCUUGGAAGUAGGGCUCCAGCUUCUUGGCGGCGAAGUACAUGCCAUAGCACAUCUUCUGGUAGUGCGGGUAGUUCUGCUUCGAGGUAGACAGUACCUUGCUCAAAUAGUACACCGGCCUCUGGACCGGCUGGGCUCGUCCCUCUUCUGGGCGUUGGACUACGAUGACGGUGCUGACCACUCGGCUGGUUGCGGCAAUGUAGAGGAGCAUGGGCUCUUUCUCAGUCGGCGCCACCAGGACCGGCGGUGUGACCAGCAUCUUCUUUAGCUCGUGAAAAGCUUGGUCGGCUUGGUCAUUCCACUCGAAGUGAGUGGUCUUCUUCAUAAGGCGGUAGAGGGGGAGAGCUUUCUCUCCGAGCCGGCUGAUGAAGCGGUUUAGGGAGGCCAAGCAUCCGGUAAACUUCUGGAUGUCUCGAAGUUUGGUGGGAAUCGCCAUUCUCUCAAUGGCCUUGAUUUUCACCGAGUUGCAUUUGAUGCCGCGUUCGGAGACCAGGAAGCCUAGGAGCUGGCCGGCUGGCACUCCGAACACGCAUUUCUCGGGGUUGAGCUUGAUUUGGAACCGGCGUAGGUUCUCAAAUGUUUCCAUGAGGUCUUCCAGCAAGGUGCCGCGCUUCUCCGUCUUCACCACAAUGUCGUCUACGUAGACAUGGGCGUUUCUGCCGAGCUGCUUGAGGAGGCACUUCUGCAUGCAACGCUGAAAAGUGGCACCAACAUUUCUCAAGCCGAAUGUCAUAGUCAGGUAGCAGAAGGCUCCAAAUGGCGUGAUGAAGGCGGUCUUCAGGCGGUCAGCCGGAUCUAACUUUAUCUGGUGGUAUCCUGAGUAAGCAUCCAAGAAACUCAACAGCUCGCAUCCGGCCAUGGAGUCUAUCACUUGGUCAAUCCUCGGGAGGGCAAAGGGAUCUCUGGGGCAGGCCUUGUUGAGGCUCGUGUAGUCUAUGCACAUGCGCCACUUAUUGUUCUUCUUUAAUACGAGGACCGGGUUGGCAAGCCACUCUGGAAAGAAAACUUCCAUAGUGAAGCCGGCUGUCAGAAGCCGGGCUAUCUCCUCUCCCACAAUUCUUCUUUUCUCCUCCGACAGUCGGCGGAGGGGUUGUUUGACUGGUUUUGCGUCUUCUCGGACGUGUAGUUUGUGCUCGGCGAAUUCCUUCGGAACACCCGACAUGUCCUUGGGGGACCAUGCAAAGAUGUCCCGAUUCUCACGGAGGAAAUCGGCGAGCUCGCCUUCCUAUUUGCUGUUUAGGUUUGCCCCGAUGACAGCAAACCUCUCUGGGUGCUCGGGGUCAAGAGGUAUCUUCUUCGUCUCCUUGGCCGGCUGGAAAGAUCCUUGGGCAUCAUACUCCUUGGGAUCGGGGGACAGGGCCGACUGUUUGCCGGCCAUGGCCACGACUCGAUCCAACAUCUUCUUCUCUUCGGCAAUCACAAGGGACUUGGCCAGCCGGCUGCUGGCUGCCGCGCACUCGGAAGACUUCUUGUAAUCGCCGGCUAUGGUGAUGACGCCCUUGGUGCUCGGCAUCUUCAUCUUGAGGUAUGCAUAGUGGGGAACCGCCAUGAACCUGGCCAAGGCAGGUCGGCCAAGCAAUGCAUGGUAGGGGCUCUCCAGGUCCACCACCUCAAACCAGAUCGCUUCCCGGCGAAAAUGCUCCUUGUCCCCAAAGAGUACAUCAAUCUUGAUCUUGCCAAUGGGGGCGCAGGACAGGCCGGGUACGAUGCCAUGGAACACUGUCCGAGUAGGCAUGAGUUGCUUCGUCUUGACGUUCAGCUUCUCCAGGGUGUCACGGUAUAAGAUGUUGAUGCUGCUCCUGCCGUCUAUCAACACGCGGGAGAAACGGGCGGCGCGUCUGUCCAUUGCAAAGGUGGCAUCCAGGACCAAUGCAUAAGAGCCGGGAGAUGGCAUCACCUCUGGGUGGUCAGCCCGGCUCCAGCUGAUAGGUUUUUCUGACCAGUGCAUGUGCUCGGCGGGGUUGGCAGCGACCAUGCUGACUUCCUGGUGCUCUCGGUGUUUGCUGCGCCGGUCUUCGGGCUGGCUUGUAAAGACGACAUAGGCGGCAUGCUCGUCAGGGAACUCAUCAUGCACGGCUCCGACUGCGGGCCGAACGGUCGGCGGCUGCGGGGCCGGAGGCGGCGGAUCGGCAGGCGGAGGCGGCGCGAGCCCUUCGCCUUUGGAGAUUCGGGUGAGCCAAUAGCACUUCCGGGUUGUGUGGUUGGACGGCUUCGCGCUGCUGUGGAACUUGCACGGGGCGUCGAGAGUUUGCUCGUAGGAGAAGGCUGGCUACCAAGCCGGCCUGCCGCCCUUGGAUUUCUUGGGCGCGGGCUGCCCUUCGGGCUGCUCGUCCUCGACUGUGGCCACCUGCCAACUUGCGGGAGGCGGCGCAGGGCCCUUGCCCUUGUGGUCGUUCGGGUGUGGGCGUCGGCCGGAAUCCCCAGCCGACGUCUUGGGCGCUGGGUUGAGUACCUUCCCGGACGCGUCUACUCGGAGCUCGGUCUUCAUUGAGGAGUCGGCGGUGGCGUACUUGUCCGCUAUGUCUAGAAGCUCGUCGAGGGUAGUCGGCUCGUCGCAGAGAAGCUUGUGCUUGAUGAGGGUGCCUUCUCGGCACCCAGCAGUGAAGUAUUCUAUGGCUUGCACCUCGUGCACCCCUUCGCAAGAAUUUCGGAGCUCGGCCCAAUGCAUGAGGUAAUCGCGAGUAGACUCGGCGGGGCCUUGUACGCACAAGGAGAGCUGUCUGGGCUUGGGAGCCCGCUUGUAGGUGCUGGUGAAGUUGCGGACGAAAGCUUCUGUGAAAUCUAGCCAGCUGUUGAUGCUGUAUGGCUUGAGGCUGUUGAGCCAGGUCCGCGCCGUGUCUUGCAGCAUGAGGGGCACGUACUUCACGGCAACGCGCCUGUUGCCAUUGGCUAUGCUAACCGCCGUGGAGUAGUCGAUCAACCAAUCUUCCGGCUUCAUGGAGCCGUUGUACUUGGGCGUGUCUCUUGGGAGCGAGAACCCUUUGGGGAAGGGCUCGUCGCGGAUGCGGGGGCCAAAGCAAGGCGGGCCGACAUCGUCUUCUUCUUCCAGCGCCAGGGAUCGCGCCAGGCGGUCGAUCCGAUGGCGGGCGUCGUUCUCGCUGACUCCUUCGUGGCGACCUAGCCGGCCACUGAGAGUCGGAUGCGCAACAGGCGGCGGGGUGGGAUAUCUCUCUCCACGGGGCCGAGGCGGAGGCGGGUUGCCCCGCCACUCCACGGCCCGAGGGUGGCCUUCUGCAUCUCGCUCGAUGGAGAUUCGGGUUUGGCUUCGGCUGGCAGCCGGCUCUUUCUCGCGCCGCACGCGGGUUCUACCCGUAGUCGGCGUCCGGGACGUCGCGUCGUGAUCUCGGCGCGGGGGAGGGCUUUCCGCGCGGGCGUCGGCUUCGUGCCGCUGCGUGGCUGCAUCGAUUAGCUGCUGGAUGCGUCGGGUCAUGUGGGGGAGUUCUUCGGCCCCCAGUCCGUCUAGCUCGUCUACGGCCGCCUGGGCGGCCCGCAGGUUCUCGAGUGGAGUGGCGUAGACUGGGCGGUCGACUCCUAACAUGUCGGUGAUGACAGCGCCGCACUGUCUGACAACGCCGACCCGGCUGGGCCCGCCUGGGGACGGCGUGCCAAAGGCGGCGCGGUCGGCUUCGCGUCGGUGAGCCUCAGCGAGGCGUCUCAUGGAAACCAACUUCCGGCCCUCCGCAAGGAGGGCGAGGCGGCGAGCCUCCAGUGCUUCAACGUCGGCAUCGGCCGGGAGGGGGAUGUACAAGUCGUGGACCGCCGCGUGCGGGGCAUCGUGGGCGCUCUCGUCAGCAGCGCCGCCGUGGCUGAUGACCAUCACCUCGGUGGUGACAGCGUCGCAGCCAUCGGCCCGGGGAAGCGGGUCGUUGUAGAUCGUGACGUCGGUGGGGAAGGUAUCGAGUGAGGCCGUGUCAGAGUCGGCAGGCAUCGGGUCGGUGGAGCCAACCGACUCCAAAUCCACAGCAGGCUCGCCGGAGACAUGGAGCUGGCCAAGGAGGUUGACGAGGUGGUUGGUGCCCGCGUCGGAGGCGAGCUCGUCGGAGAUGAGGGUCUUGUCGAGGAGAUCGGCGAAGCCGCUCGCUGCGCAGAUGCUGGUGACGCCUUGCAGCGCGUCGUGGCAAGCGCCAUCGGGCGUGCCGGGCUGGCUACGCUCGCGGGGGAGGAAGAAGGUUCCUGUCCAGAACAGGUCUCCGGACGACGAUGCACCUGGCCCCACGGUGGGCGCCAAAUGUCGGGUGGUAGGUGCGACAUAUGCCAACGGGUGGCUUAUCAUUGUGGGAGCCAGUAAGACGUCGCCGGUGCCUGGAAGCGGGAUGAGGCGAAGACAUGCACGCCGGCGAAUCUUACCCAACUUCGGGGCUCUCCGUGGAGAUAACACCCCUACUGCUGCUCUGCGGGGUCUCCGCAUGAUCACUAGAUGAAAAAGUAGCUACACGAUGCUCCUUGAGCUAUUUGGCGAGAGGAGGAAGAAGGGCUCUGCCCGCUCUCUUCUCCUCCCUAUGUGGUGUUUAAAACUAGCAGGGAUCAACCCUUUGCAUGGGUGUCCCAGGGGGUUUAUAUAAGCCCACCCCUCGGGGAUACAAUGGUAAUCCGGCUGGGUGCGAGGCCCAGCCGUCUGUGUCUACACUCGCCGGCUUCUGCACCGACUGCUGGGGCCCGCCGGCUGCUGGGUCCCGUCGGCUGCCGGCUCCUUGGUCGACAGGCAGGCCCCACUGUCCAGGGCCUUGUCGGCGGCUGGUUACUGUUGCUCAAUCCUGGUGACGAAGGCUUCGCCGAGGUGGGCGUGGCUACAGUGCCGCCGUCCGGCGGGUGAUCGCUGUAGGCUCACCGCGUCUUGUCUCCUUAAUGGGGCGUCCCCUUCGAGGGGGUGGCAAACCGGCUGUGGAGAGCCGGCUCUGUCUUGGGCCGACUGGGGGAGGCCGGGCCGCCUUCGGGUGUCUCUCUGCGUGAAGGGGCCCACCGCCCGUGGGCCACUCUGGCGGCCCGUCGUGGAUGACAUCAGGGUCAUCGUGGCAACAGUGCCGCGCCGGACGGGUCAUGGCCACCCGUACGGCGCACUGUGCCAGGCGUGCUCCGGGAUUCGGGGGUGGCAAGCUUUACUGUAGCCACGCCCCGUCACAUCGCCGUUAUGUGGGUGCAGAUUUCGUGAGUACGAUCUUGACCGCUUUAUGGGAGCCGGCUCCUCGGAGCCGGCCCUCCCGCGACUUUUUUCAUGAAGGCUGAAGUCGGGCCGCCUUCCGAUAGUCGGCCUGGGAAACAGCCGGUGAGGGAAAGGCGGCCCUAUGUCUUGAAUUCUUAAGGGCCGGAUGGGCUCGUAAUAAUUUUUUCAGAAGGGCCAGGGGGAGCCGGCUUGGCUACCCAUGGUUAUUUCCUCCGACAACCAGGGUUAUCAGACGCUUGCGAAGCUCCCCCCUCCCCUGAUUUGUUUUCGGCUUGCUAUAGAAAUGACCUCUGGACCGUCGAGCGGACCAAUACAGGAAUGUGUUGGAUGAUAAAACACGUCGAGUCCGGACGGUUGCGGGUGGUUUGAGAGUUCGCGUUGAAAAUGGCUAAGUGUAGAGAGAUUCAUAAUGCACAAUCACAAUGUCUCUAAAAUAAAUGACUGCUUACCUUUAAUCUACCCCAAACGAGAAGUAUGUACGAGUGGUGAUGACAUCCGCAUCGGUCGGUCUUUUGAAUUUGCGAGAAUGUUCAAACGAAAAGGUUGAACAAAGUGGACGGCAAAAACACUUUAAAGAAGCAGUCCUUGGGCAAAGGAGGGAAGGAAAACAGAGGCUGGAAUCAAGAUCCUUCCGUGUAGAAUGCCCUUUUCAACUUUCAUGGUCUUCCCCACGACCCAACCAUGCAAGACUAGUUAGAAAAUGACUGCUCGACCAGGCAAUAACCAACAUUAAGCCAGUAAUUAAUCUAGUCCCCAGGAUGACCAAAGACCCGUUCUCUCUUUCGUACCCGCUGCAGCCUGCUAACGAUGUACGUGCCACGCUGUUUCCUUCGUAGUAGUAUAUGGUCGGGGGUGGUGCCCUUACUUAUACAGCUCAUACGCGUGACACGAAGUCUUGCGCUCACUUUGCUUAACCUCGUACACACAUCACAAAUUCAUCCUUGCACUACAUUCACGAGAGGUGGUCCUCCUCUCCAUUAGCCGCGACGAUCUUGGAGGGAUGGAUGACGUGCUGUCGCAGAUUAGCGAGGCGUUCCGGCUCGCCGGCGAGCUCAUGGGUGAGCUCCAGGCCACCCAGAACGGCCCGGCCUACAUCGCCGCACGCUGCCACGGCAUUGUCCAUGCCUACAACAGAGCCAUCCGCAUGCUGCAGCAGUACGGCGUGGGCGACGUGGCCGCAGCCGCGCCACGUGAGCUCGAGGCCGGGUCGAUGGACAUCCUGCGCCUGGGCAGCACGGGCGAAGGCGGCGCUAGCCAGUUUCUCGGAGAGACUCCGGCGCAUUUGGCCCACCGGAAGGAGCCAUUCCACAUGCCGGCCGGCGUGUUCGGUGCGCGAGUGGCGCCACAGCAUACGAUGUGCGCGGGGGCGGGCGUCGCCGGCACGUCCGGUGGCCCGAUGAGGAGGCUGCCGUCGUCCAGGUCUCCGCCAGCGGUCCAGCCACGGCAGGGCAGGAGGAGGUACGUACGCGAGCCUGUGCUUUGUUCUGGCAAUCGUUGCAUUUUGGGGGUCAACGGUUCAAACGCGCAGACCAUUUACCACGUCAUGCCCCAGAAAUGCCAGCGAAUUUUCCUAGUCCCCCGCAGCGAACGUUCACUGCGACAGCGGCGUAGGGGCGAAUUGCUCGGCGAGUCAUUGGGCGUCAAGAACUAGUACUACAUUUGUAGCAAAAUAUAAGACGUUUUUGUAAUUUAAUUUGAACUGCAAAAACAUCUUANNNNNNNNNNNNNNNNNNNNNNNNNNNNNNNNNNNNNNNNNNNNNNNNNNNNNNNNNNNNNNNNNNNNNNNNNNNNNNNNNNNNNNNNNNNNNNNNNNNNNNNNNNNNNNNNNNNNNNNNNNNNNNNNNNNNNNNNNNNNNNNNNNNNNNNNNNNNNNNNNNNNNNNNNNNNNNNNNNNNNNNNNNNNNNNNNNNNNNNNNNNNNNNNNNNNNNNNNNNNNNNNNNNNNNNNNNNNNNNNNNNNNNNNNNNNNNNNNNNNNNNNNNNNNNNNNNNNNNNNNNNNNNNNNNNNNNNNNNNNNNNNNNNNNNNNNNNNNNNNNNNNNNNNNNNNNNNNNNNNUUUUGUUUUCUUUCGAGAUGGCACUAUUUUCUUUAUUUUUUGAUCAUUACUUAAAAAGGUAGUUUAUAGAUUAGCAAUAGCGGACGAGGAGAGGUACAUACAGCGUGACAUGGUAUCAAUCUUGUGUUAUUGUGAUCUAAACCUACGGAUCCAAUAUGAAAAAUCAGAGAUAAUGUUUCUAAUUAUCAGAAAACCCGAGUGGGUGUCCCAACCUUCCAUAGGAUGGCGAGGGCUACUGUUGCCUAAAUGUCGUGGUCGAGGCCUGCGGGGUGUUGCACAUCCCAUAUAAGGUGGGAGUGACUAGUAUAGAAUCUGAGCUCCCAGUGCAAAAAUAGAAAAAGCAACCUGAGCCACUGGAUUAGAGAUCAAUGGUACAGAUUCUGGUGGAGGGGCAUGUUCCCACUUAAUGUCCAUUUCACGAAAACCCCCCUACCAACACUUGAAUAUAAAACAUGACUUUUACAGUUACAACCUCAAGUCACUCGUCCAUUUCCAAAUUAGCACAACGUUGAUGUCAUCCUCCUAGAAGCUUGUCAAUAUUUCAGUACGUGAGAAAGUUGACCCAUCCCCUUUAAGGUUCAAGCACAACUCAACGUACAUGUUCUCUCUAAAAAUUAAGAACUAAAUGUACAGGCCAAACUUAUGUUUAGAAAACAAAACAGAUAUGGCAGAAAGAAAACUGUCCCUCAAGGCAAAAAUAAUAAUUUAUUCCAGACUUGGUGAGCACCUUCUAAACUUAUUACAAACUAUAUUUGCCAGUCUUGUUGCUUAAUCUUCACAGCCAAGCAACAGAAAUGCCGCAAUGAUCGAAAUGAUUGAAGUAAAUACAAUGAACAUAUAUCUUGAUAAAUGUAGAGGGCUCUAGCAAUUAAACAAGAAAACUACUAAAUUCAUUUAUAACUAUUAUGCAACACUAAAUUAAAGUCAACAUUAAGCUUCUCUAGUAAUAAACACCCACAUCUCAAUAGGAUGGCGAAAAUGAAUUUCACAAGGUAUUCUAUUUCUGGUCCACUCUGAUCCAUAUACAUGGCCUGAUUAACAUGACAGGACCAUUUAUAGCACAUGACCGACAACAAAGGAUUUAAAUUAUCAUGCAGACAAAUGAGUUUUGCUCCUGCAAUUGUAAGCAAGGGAAGCCUAUGCUAAGCGCUUCU